UCAGAGAUAUCAGUCCUGCAGGGCGAUUCACGAUUCCCUUGCGACACGGAUUCAGAAACUUUACCGUGCAGUCAUUGGUCAAUGCCUAGCGCGGCGAGCGUUU